CCUACGGGUGGCAGCAGUGGAGGAUCUUUCACAAUGGGGGAAACCCUGAUGCAGCGACGCCGCGUGGGUGAAGGAGCGCCUCGGCGCGUAAAGCCCUGUCAGCAGGGAAGCAAAUGACGGUACCUGAAGAAGAAGCCCCGGCUAACUACGGGCCAGCAUCCGCGGUAAUACGGAGGGGGCAAGCGUUAUCCGGAUUUACUGGGGGUAAAGGGGGCGCAGACGGCGAUGCAAGCCAGGAGUGAAAGCCCGGGGCCCAACCCCGGGACUGCGCUUGGAACUGCGUGGCUAGAGUGCAGGAGGGGCAGGCGGAAUGCCUGGGGUAGCGGUGAAAUGCGUAGAUAUCAGGAGGAACACCGGUGGCGAAGGCGGCCUGCUGGAAUGCAACUGACGUUGAGGCCCGAAAGCGUGGGGAGGAAACAGGAUUAGAUACCCUUGUAGUC
rnacentral:rRNA from 1 species